AACCCUUGUCCUUAGUUACCAGCACGUUAUGGUGGGCGACUCUAAGGAGACUGCCGGUGACAAACCGGAGGAAGGUGGGGAUGACGUCAAGUCAUCAUGGCCUUACGGCCUGGGCUACACACGUGCUACAAUGGUCGGUACAAAGGGUUGCCAAGCCGCGAGGUGGAGCUAAUCCCAUAAAACCGAUCGUAGUCCGGAUCGCAGUCUGCAACUCGACUGCAUGAAGUUGGAAUCGCUAGUAAUCGUAGAUCAGCACGCUACGGUGAAUACGUUCCGGUCCGGUUU
rnacentral:rRNA from 1 species